rnacentral:rRNA from 1 species
UACCCUUGAGUGGGAGAUAAUCUCGGGAAACUGAGGCUAAUACCCCAUAGGUGCUUGGUGCUGGAAUGCUCUUGCACUCAAAGCUCCGGCGCUCAAGGAUGGGUCUGUGGCCUAUCAGGCUGUUGUUGGUGUAAUGAACCAACAAACCGAUAACGGGUACGGGCUAUGUGAGUAGGAGCCCGGAGAUGGAUUCUGAGACAUGAAUCCAGGCACUACGGUGUGCAGCAAGCGCGAAACCUUUACAAUGCAUUCACGUGCGAUAAGGGGACCCGGAGUGUUCCAGCAAUGCUGGAAUUUUUGUUCACUUUAAAUAGGUGGGCGAAUAAGGGCUGGGUAAUACGGGUGCCAGCCUCCGCGGUAAUACCCGAGGCCCAAGUGAUAGCCAGUAUUAUUGGGUUUAAAGCGUCCGUAGCCGGCUCAGUAAGUUCCUGGUGAAAUCCUCCGGCAAACCGGAGGGCGUGCUGGGAAUACUACUGAACUUGAGACCGGGAGAGGGUAGGGGUACUCAUAGGGUAGGGGUUAAAUCCUGUAAUCCUAUGGGGACCACCUGUGGCGAAGGCGCCUACCUGGAACGGCUCUGAC